UCGGAGGUACUCGAGUGGCGAACGGGUGAGUAACACGUGGGCAAUCUGCCCUGCACUUCGGGAUAAGCCUGGGAAACUGGGUCUAAUACCGGAUAGGACCUCAAGACGCAUGUCUUCUGGUGGAAAGCUUUUGCGGUGUGGGAUGGGCCCGCGGCCUAUCAGCUUGUUGGUGGGGUGACGGCCUACCAAGGCGACGACGGGUAGCCGGCCUGAGAGGGUGUCCGGCCACACUGGGACUGAGAUACGGCCCAGACUCCUACGGGAGGCAGCAGUGGGGAAUAUUGCACAAUGGGCGCAAGCCUGAUGCAGCGACGCCGCGUGGGGGAUGACGGCCUUCGGGUUGUAAACCUCUUUCACCAUCGACGAAGGUCCGGGUUUUCUCGGAUUGACGGUAGGUGGAGAAGAAGCACCGGCCAACUACGUGCCAGCAGCCGCGGUAAUACGUAGGGUGCGAGCGUUGUCCGGAAUUACUGGGCGUAAAGAGCUCGUAGGUGGUUUGUCGCGUUGUUCGUGAAAUCUCACGGCUUAACUGUGAGCGUGCGGGCGAUACGGGCAGACUAGAGUACUGCAGGGGAGACUGGAAUUCCUGGUGUAGCGGUGGAAUGCGCAGAUAUCAGGAGGAACACCGGUGGCGAAGGCGGGUCUCUGGGCAGUAACUGACGCUGAGGAGCGAAAGCGUGGGGAGCGAACAGGAUUAGAUACCCUGGUAGUCCACGCCGUAAACGGUGGGUACUAGGUGUGGGUUUCCUUCCUUGGGAUCCGUGCCGUAGCUAACGCAUUAAGUACCCCGCCUGGGGAGUACGGCCGCAAGGCUAAAACUCAAAGGAAUUGACGGGGGCCCGCACAAGCGGCGGAGCAUGUGGAUUAAUUCGAUGCAACGCGAAGAACCUUACCUGGGUUUGACAUGCACAGGACGCGUCUAGAGAUAGGCGUUCCCUUGUGGCCUGUGUGCAGGUGGUGCAUGGCUGUCGUCAGCUCGUGUCGUGAGAUGUUGGGUUAAGUCCCGCAACGAGCGCAACCCUUGUCUCAUGUUGCCAGCGGGUAAUGCCGGGGACUCGUGAGAGACUGCCGGGGUCAACUCGGAGGAAGGUGGGGAUGACGUCAAGUCAUCAUGCCCCUUAUGUCCAGGGCUUCACACAUGCUACAAUGGCCGGUACAAAGGGCUGCGAUGCCGUAAGGUUAAGCGAAUCCUUUUAAAGCCGGUCUCAGUUCGGAUUGGGGUCUGCAACUCGACCCCAUGAAGUCGGAGUCGCUAGUAAUCGCAGAUCAGCAACGCUGCGGUGAAUACGUUCCCGGGCCUUGUACACACCGCCCGUCACGUCAUGAAAGUCGGUAACACCCGAAGCCAGU
rnacentral:rRNA from 1 species